CCUACGGGGGGCAGCAGUGGGGAAUAUUGCACAAUGGGGGAAACCCUGAUGCAGCGACGCCGCGUGAGUGAAGAAGUAUUUCGGGAUGUAAAGCUCUAUCAGCGGGGAAGAAAGUGACAGUACCUGAUUAAGAAGCCCCUGCUAACUACGUGCCAGGAACCGCGGUAAUACGUAGGGGGCAAGCGUUAUCCGGAUUUACUGGGUGUAAGGGGAGCGGGGACGGCAGCACAAGUCUGGUGUGAAAUGCCGGGGCUUAACCCCGGAACUGCUUUGGAAACUGUGCAGCUAGAGUGCAGGAGAGGGAAGUGGAAUUCCAAGUGUAGCGGUGAAAUGCGUAGAUAUUAGGAGGAAUACCAGUGGCGAAGGCGGCCUACUGGACUGUAACUGACGUUGAGGUUCGAAAGCGUGGGGAGCAAACAGGAUUAGAUACCCGUGUAGUC
rnacentral:rRNA from 1 species